AUGUUGGCUUUGUUUAGGAAACUAUCACAGCAACCAGCACACAUCUUUCCUGAAGGACAGUGGCCCUUCUCAGAGCAGCUGCUGGGAUGCAGACUGAAGAAGCAGCUGGCCGGGACCGUACUCCACUUCUGCUCCCACGGGAGGUGUGGGUGCUGUCACCCCAAAACCACAAGAACUGGAGUGCACCAGUUUGUUCUACAGAAAAGAGACAAAGGGGGAUAAACCUUGAGGAAAAUCUUCUGAACACCUGCAGGAAGCUUAAGGUCAUAUAGUCACUUGGAGACUACAUGUUCCUCCCACCUGGCUCCCUCCAUACACAAAGCUAAACUGCCAGCAAAGCUAAACUUUCUACCUGCACCACUGGAUAAGGCAAUUGAAAUUGAGCCCUUCUUUCAUAUGGGCUGGAAACCUGCUUGCUGUGCUCAUGGCAGUCAUCUCCCAGUGCCUUCCAGCAGCCUCCAGCCACAGAAGGGCAGGUGGACUUGGACAGUGAAGACGCGUGGGGCAGCAUCACAGAGCCUGU
rnacentral:lncRNA from 1 species